CAGGCACGUCCAGAUGGUCUACACGGCUCUCAGAGGAUCCAACAUGAUAAAUUAUGAUGACUCCGAUAAGAGCGAGUGUGGAGGGGUGAGACAGUGCAGACAGUGGAGGAGCGCCGGACGUUGAGGGUGCAUCCAGCUUCUUAUGUAAGAAGCCAGCACAUUUUAAAGCUCAUCCAUUACCAUGGCGAUGCAAACUCAAGGAGGAGAGACCCAGUGCAUGAACACGCUAUCGACCCAUUCGCCACUAAAACCCCUCUGACAAUUCUUUAAAAUCAGGUUGACAGCUGGACUCCAGCGCCACCGUCUGCCC